rnacentral:tRNA from 1 species
AUAUUUUUAGUAUAUAAUAUUACAUUUGAUUUCCAAUCAAAUAAUUCAUAAAUUGAAAAAUAUA